rnacentral:rRNA from 2 species
UGGGGGAUAUUGGACAAUGGGGGCAACCCUGAUCCAGCGACGCCGCGUGAGGGAAGAAGGUUUUCGGAUUGUAAACCUCUGUCGACAGGGAAAAUGAUGAUGGUACCUGUGGAGGAAGCCACGGCUAACUACGUGCCAGCAGCCGCGGUAAUACGUAGGUGGCAAGCGUUGUCCGGAAUUACUGGGUGUAAAGGGAGCGUAGGCGGGACGGUAAGUCAGAAGUGAAAAUUAUGGGCUCAACUCAUAACCUGCUUUUGAAACUGCUGUUCUUGAGUGAAGUAGAGGCAAGCGGAAUUCCUAGUGUAGCGGUGAAAUGCGUAGAUAUUAGGAGGAACACCAGUGGCGAAGGCGGCUUGCUGGGCUUUUACUGACGCUGAGGCUCGAAAGCGUGGGGAGCAAACAGG